GACUCCAUCCUACGUUUUGGGGCACUGGAUGCUUGGAACAACUUGUUGUACAUUACUUUCUCUGGAUCAGAGCCAAUAUUCAUCUUCCCUUCUUCCUAUUCGAAUACAAGGACAUGUUAUCAAUAAUGUUUUUCUGUGCCUGGGUGGAUUCUGUGCUAGAUGGACUGUUCAUCUGACCCAGUUAGGUUCCACAGCACUUAUGCUCUCCCAAUGAAGAAUGAUGGCCUCUUUCCCUCUGUUCCAGCAGUAUCUGACUGUAAAACCAUCAUUUAUGUUUACUUUCAGAUUCAUAUUCCAGUCCUUGGUUCAUCAUCAACUGCAUUUAAUAUGUUGAAUUCACAGCUGAUCCUCAUUACUAAGUCAUGGUAAGAUCUUUGAACAGGACUUUUGAAUGAGAGCACUUGAAUCACUCUGGAAUUCACUGCUACCUGAAAAAUGGAUAGUGGAAGCUUCAGUGAGUGGUUGAGCUAAAUAUUUCUGCCUGAUCUGCACCACAGAAUUUGUCUACGGCAAGCAACCAGGAACAAUUGUUGCCACAGAGGACAAUAACAUAUGCCAUGUCAAUCCUCUUAUCUUGCACUUGCACUGCACAUUAGCAUGGAUCCCCAUGGUAAAUCUACUUCACUGAUUUUUUCCUUUCAGGAGUCAGUUCAAGUUCACACAGAAAAAGAAGAUUAGUACAUUGGUUAAAUGCUUCAGUGAUUUACACAGAAUUCUAAAUAAUAGGCUCCAAGCAGUUCUGAGCUGCUUCAUUUCACAUGUGGUUGCAACUGAAUACUUUGCCUCUCUGUGCUGUCGUUCGCAUCUCCAAAUCAAGGGUGACAUCUUGAGCCAUUUGCACUUGUUACCAAAGUGACUCUUGUGUUUAUUCAAAUAAUAUGCAUUGUUAUUGUCGGAUGAUAUGAUGUUGUCAGAUUCUGAAGAGUUCCUGAAAACUUGUUUCAAGCAGUUCCUUUUGUCUCUCUAGUUCUAAAUGGUUGUCAGUUUGCAGAAAAUGGAUUCACACUGGCUUUCUGCAUGCAAAGUGUGCAAGGAAAGUUGUUUCUCUCAGAAUAUCAGUUUGUUUGGUUUUUUUAAAAAAGUUUUGUUCAUAUACUGCUUAUCCAAAAAUGUCCCAGAGCCAUUCAAAAUAAAAAAAUAAAACCAUUUAAAAUAUUAA